rnacentral:tRNA from 1 species
GGAGAGGUACCGAAGAGGUCGUAACGGGGGCGCCUCGAAAGCGUCUUGUCCAGUAAUGGGCACGUGGGUUCGAAUCCCACCCUCUCCGCCA